rnacentral:rRNA from 1 species
GACGUAGGGUGCGAGCGUUGUCCGGAUUUAUUGGGCGUAAAGAGCUCGUAGGCGGCUUGUUGCGUCAGCUGUGAAAACCCGCGGCUUAACCGUGGGCCUGCAGCUGAUACGGGCAAGCUAGAGUUCGGUAGGGGAGACUGGAAUUCCUGGUGUAGCGGUGAAAUGCGCAGAUAUCAGGAGGAACACCGGUGGCGAAGGCGGGUCUCUGGGCCGAUACUGACGCUGAGGAGCGAAAGCGUGGGGAGCGAACAGG